ensembl:snoRNA SNORA70 Small nucleolar RNA SNORA70
AUGUAAUCAUUUUAAGUAAAUGUUUCGUUCAAAAAAAUACUCUGGGGGCCCAGUGUGCAAUGGCUGCAAACAGCAGCUUCCCUGGUAGUGAUGCAGCCUGUUUGUUGUAUGGGUUGCUCUGAGGGACCUUGGAGACAGUA